GUUCCCGAACGCUUCGCCGCUCGUCCCGCUCGUCGCUCGACGACGCGCUCGACGACGUCCCGCUCGACGACGUCCCAUCCCGUCGCCGCCGUUUCGUCCCUCGCUCCCGCUCGCGUUUCCUCUUUUUCUCCUUGCUCGUCUUCUUUCUCUUCUUCUUCUCCUUCUUCCGCCGUCGCCGUUCGUCGUCGUCGUCGUCGUCGCCGCCGCGAAGUUUCUCUCUUUGAUGCGCCGCGUACGCCGCGUUCAGCGCUUGCACGCUCGUCAGCGCCGCGGACAGCUGCGGAUGAUUCCCCACCAUCGCGCGCGUGCGUUCGCGCGCGCGCGCGUCGCGCAGUACCGCCGGC
rnacentral:lncRNA from 1 species